GAACAAAAAACCUGACUAUGUCCGGGUCAAGCAAAUCGGAGUCGCCAAAGAGGAAAAAAAGGAGAGGUUUGGGUAGAGAGGGGAUCGCGAGACGAAAAUGGAGGUUCCAGGUUCAUCGAAGAAGAUGAUCGCAACGCAGGAAGAGAUGGUCGCAGCCAAAGUACCCCUCGGAUACAGAGAUCAGUGCGCUCAUCUCCUGAUCCCGCUCAACAAAUGUCGCCAGGCUGAGUUCUUCCUCCCGUGGAAGUGCGAGGACGAGCGCCACGUGUACGAGAAGUGCGAGUACGAGCUCGUCAUGGAGAGGAUGCUCGCGAUGCAGAAGAUCCGCGAGGAAGAAGCCAAGGCUAAACAGGAUAAGAAACAAGGGAACGGUGUUCCUCUGAUCCCUAAGACCGCUAAUGCUUAGCCCCUCCUCGAUUCGAUCUUCCAGGUUUCCGGGAAUCUCUGGAACUGUGAAGAAGGUGGGGCUCUGCUUUUCAGUAUUUUCUUCUUGUUGGUGAUGAAAAAUUUGUUGCUACAUUCUCAGAUGUUCAAAGAUUAUAUCUCUUUUCGUUUUUUUUCUUCCUCUUGUUUAACUUUGUGAAACUGUUUCACAGAAAAGAAAAAAAUAAGAUGCAAACACUCAUCUUUUUGUUGGUUUUCUAUCUUUAAUCUUUGAGAGAGAAAAUUGAACAUAUUAUAUACAAUAUAAACAAUUUCAUCGAGUUAAAUUUAUUCAGCCAAUCUAAACUAUUAAAACAGGAGUACAUUUAGUACUUGACCCUGAGUUUUCCUCAAAAAUUACUAUUCUAUGCCAUCACUACUAUAUAAAAGGAGCUAUUUUUGGAGCUUAUAAGGGGUGCCACAUAUGCAAAAAUAUUCUCCACCAAUCAAUCUGCCAUGUUAUUACGGGCUGGGUCACAAAUCAAUUUCAAGUUCCAGCCCAAACUUGCUCCAUUCCGGCCCAACCUCAGAUGCUUCUUAUUAUAUGUGGGACCCACUAUGUACUUAUUAACUUAAGAAAUCGCAUGAGGUUGUUUCUGGGCCAUAAGUUUGAUUUACGAUGGUAAUCCUUAGCCCAUUAAAAAAACGCUCAAGGCAUUGUCCGCUCUGAUCUACGGUUUCCAAAACCAUUUUUCCUUUCGACGAGAUGGUUGUGUCUCCGCCCUCCCCCCUUACUUUAAGAUACGUUAAUGGGUAUUUAUGGCAGUCUUAAUUUUCUACACCCCUUCCAUCUUCCUUAUGAUACCCUUAAUGACUCCCCUGUUUCAAAACAUCAGCCAUAGCCCUCUCUAUAUAAAGUCGAUCCUCGAGACCGGGAUUAAACAUCGCAACUCACAUCCCUGCUUUCGUCAUCCGCAGUGGCUUAUACUACAGACGUGAAAAUGUCUUCCUUUGCUGUUUUUGGUGCUCAAUCAGCCGGUCCCCACGCUACUUUCUACGAUCUCCGCCUUUGUCGGUUGUUGUCAGCCGUCUCUUAUGCUUUUGGGACUCCCGCAAUAUCAAUAAGAAUGGCGAGUUCAUGGGUAGCACCAUACUCUUCCUAGAUGAAAAGAUGAACAGGCAUGUACAUCUACUCUCUUAGAUUAAUGAUUUACCUAGGAGUUUCUUGAUCUAGAGUGUAAAAUUAUAAUUACCAAAAACCCUUAUGUCUGUUUGUGACAUUUGAACGCAGCUGAUGUAACUUUGUCUAGAAUAUAUAUUUAUGCUAAAUCUGCUGCUCAAAGGUAUAGUCAUUUCAAUACGUAUCACUCAUUUGUAACCUAAACUAAAACAUACUUGCUCUUUUCAAGGUAACUAUAUAUAUCUGAACUCCACUCCGGGCACCAAGUUCUACUUUGACACCACCAUCCCCGCCAUUGAAGCAUUCACAGAGAGGUCCGUCUAGGGAGCUUUGGAAAAAAAAAAAAUUUAAAUGCUUCCUUUAUCAUUUACCCCUUAUUAUGUAGUUAUCUUCUAUAAUGCUUUUUGUUACACAAUUGUUCACCAACUAGCUUGGGAGGUGCAGCAGGAGAGGUUUUUACACGGGUAGAAACCCAUGCGAGGUAUUAGAAAGAAAGAACUUGUGACAAUUGGUGAUCUUCAUACCUACCUGUCCAACUCCAACGCCCAGGUUAGUAUAGCUAUUUAAUUUCAUUUUUGUAAAAUCACAUUCUCAAUGUGUUACUAAAUUUAUUCUUCUAAUGCUACGUCUAUUUUUGCUAUAAAGAGCCAGGAAGCUGAUUUCCUCUACAAAGCUAGGAUUGUCGGCGUCCUCCAACAGAAUGGUUGGACUUAUGUCUCUUGCACCGGUUGCAGCAAGAAGCUGGACAAAUAUGGCACCUCAUGUGUUUCACAUAUGUCCAUGUCCAAAAGUAAGAAAUAGAAAGACUCGCCCAUGUCCAAAAGUAAACUCAAGAUUGUAAAUGAUCAUAACACCUUAAUGCUACUUUAUGCAGGUUCCGUGUAGAGCUUGCCGUUGAAGAUGGCAAAGACAAUGCAAACGUUUGUGGUCUUUGAUACAGAGAUGUCUAAACUCACCAAAACGGAAGCAGCAACACUAGCUCUUGAGAAGGUUUGGGCUCUACGUUAAAAAGCCAUUCAUUUACGGUUUUCAAAUUUUGGGGAACGUUGGCGAGUAUUAUCAUAUUUGCUGUCCAUUUACGUGCCCUUCGUUUAUCCCAUGCAUACAAAUACAUAUGUAACUUUAAAAAAUCACUGGUGGGGUCAGUUACAAAUGUGACUAGAUUAAAAUAAAACUAUGCAAAUGGUUUAGUAAAAAUAAUGGUUCCAAACGCACAUUUUAGUUGGAGUCACAACUAAAUACGUACUACGAUUUAGGAUUCCCUUCAUGGAAUCAAUAUAUAAACGGAAAGAUUCUGAAGCUGUAUAAAAUUUCUUGAUCCUUAUACGUGGUCUAAGUAAAUGAGUAGUAUUAGCACAUAAAUGCAUCUAAUUUGGAUAUAUUGAUCUAUGUAAUGCUAAAUACUUAUUUACAAUGGUAUCAGUAGAAGCUCCGCCAAUGCCAUUUCUCACAAAAAGAAUUCAAUUGAAGGAAAAAUUGAAACAAACCAACAUAACAUUUUAUAAAAUUUUAGUACUCACACAGAAGUUCAAGUAUUGUUAAUCCCACAACGCUUGAACUCAACAUGCGCUACGGUGAAACGGUCACGCGCACUCAAUCACUCCAACUCAUUCUCAAUAAUCAUACAUUUAAGGUUUGCGGUCAUAAAUUCACACGAGCAAGCACCAAGAGAGUCAUAACCGGUACAUGUCAAGUUUUAUAAAUCAAGCUUCGCAUUGCAUCCUGAAUACCACAACUAUUCACUCAAAAAACCUAUGUCCCCGACCCCGCGCUUGCGCGGGGAACCGCCCCUAGUUACUGUAAAACACGGUCGUUUUACAUUAAUCGCUAACCAAAUCGUUUUAAUUCCUAGACUAUAAAUUCGUUAACCAAAUCGUUUUACAUUCCUAGACCAUAAAUUCGUUAAAAACCAUAACUUUGCACUAUCUACUUAUGUGUUACUAAAACAAUUAAUGCAAUCGUGAUAAGACCUCGGUGUCUCUUGGUCUACUUAAUCAAAACCAUCAAUAAAUACAUUUAUACAUACAUUUUCAUAACAUGACUAAACCAUCAAUUUCCAUUGGGAUAAUAAUAUUCUAAUCUUGAUCUGCAGAAUCAAAACCAGUAUAUUAGAUAGAUACAAAUUCAUUUGAUUACAUUAAAAACAAAGUUGUGUUCAUUGGUCUAUUUGUUUGUCAUAUUAUGAUCGUAACAUUAUCAACAACAUGUUUCUCAUAUAAGUUUUGUUCUCAAUUCUCAUGUUCCUUUGUAUGAACAAUCGUAUGGUUCAUCAAAUAUGUAUAAAAUAAUUUAUUUGGUUCUAUACACUUAAUUCGGUUAGUUAAUACCUAAAAUAAUAUAGUGCAUAUCAUUAUAUAUUCACGGUGAAAAUAUUUAAAUUAAUCAAUACUAAUUUUUUUUUCUUUAAUAACAUUCUAAAAAUAUUCCUAUUUCUACUCAAAAAUAAAAAACAAAAACGAUAUCAAUCAAUUAACACAAUUUUAUUAUUAAAUUGACAAAACUUGCAAAUCAAGUAUGGAUAAUCUCUAAAAACAAAUAUACUAUAUAUAAUUAUUAUUUCUUAGUUAACUCAAUAACAUUCCAAAAUAUACUCCUAUUGCUACGGAAUAACCAUAACAAAAACGUUAUGAAGAUGUGUGGGUAAUCUUUAAAAUCGCAUAUAUUCUUUAAAAGGAACGUAUAUUAAAUUACUGAAAACAUAUAUUCUCUUUUGAAUGCAUUCAAAUCAUAUCAUAACUAACUAAAGAUUUUGUUAUAAUUUCUCAUUUACCCUACACUUUCCGAUGCCAACUAUAUACAUCUCAUAUCUAUUGAGUAAAAGGAAAAUCAUUCUAAGCAGAAAACCUAAACACAUGUUUAAGAUUACAGCUUUUACUCCUCACAAAACUCAGACCUUUUAAAAACUCAUGGCAGGUUCAAGUUAAAUGUUUACGUUCAUGGAAGUAACACACAUCGUUUGGAGGAAGUACCUUCAAGAUUGUUUUAGCCAACCAAUUGGGUAACAAAAUCUAUGCUACUUGCAAAAGAACUCACAUGUACCGAGUUCAACGAGCUGCAAUGUUUAUAACGAUUUCGAUCUCGCCUAACAAACAAUUUCAAUUUUUACUAUAUUUAAAAAACAAACGA